CCAAAAACAACGGGGGCCUCGCGCCCCCGCACCUGCCGCGCGGCCUCGCGCCCGCGGUCAGCGUGAAACCCCUUGUGAAACGCCCCGGUUGCUUCGGCAGCUCCUCCUCCCCCUCCCUCGCGGGUCGGUGGGGGACGGGUCAGUCUGCCGGCAGCUCCAGCGAAACUACUCUGCGGAAAGAAGCUUGAUUGCAGUCUGAACUAAAAGUCGAAUGACAACUUA
rnacentral:misc_RNA from 1 species